rnacentral:rRNA from 1 species
UACGUAGGGGGCAAGCGUUGUCCGGAAUCAUUGGGCGUAAAGAGCGCGUAGGCGGUCCGGUAAGUCCGCUCUGAAAGUCCGGGGCUCAACCCCGGGAGGCGGGCGGAUACUGUCGGGCUAGAGUCCGGAAGAGGCGAGUGGAAUUCCUGGUGUAGCGGUGAAAUGCGCAGAUAUCAGGAGGAACACCAACGGCGAAGGCAGCA